rnacentral:rRNA from 1 species
GACGAACGCUGGCGGCGUGCUUAACACAUGCAAGUCGAACGGAAAGGCCCUGCUUGCCGGGUGCUCGAGUGGCGAACGGGUGAGUAACACGUGGGUGAUCUGCCCCUUACUUUGGGAUAAGCCUGGUAAACUGGGUCUAAUACUGGAUAGGACCAUGCUGUAGGUGGUGUGGUGGAAAGAUUUUUUCGGUAAGGGAUGAGCUCGCGGCCUAUCAGCUUGUUGGUGGGGUAAUGGCCUACCAAGGCGUCGACGGGUAGCCGGCCUGAGAGGGUGGACGGCCACAUGGGGACUGAGAUACGGCCCAGACGCCUACGGGAGGCAGCAGUGGGGAAUAUUGCACAAUGGGCGCAAGCCUGAUGCAGCGACGCCGGGCGGGGGAUGACGGCCUUCGGGUUGUAAACUCCUUUCAGCCAUGACGAAGCCUCUUUUGGGGUGACGGUAGUGGUAGAAGAAGCACCGGCUAACUACGUG